rnacentral:lncRNA from 1 species
AGUAGAAGACAAAUUAUGACCAAAAUUUUAGAGGAUUAGCAUUAAGAAGCAAGAACAAGAAUAAGGCGCAUACUUGCCGGAAGCAGAUUAGGAAAAAGACAGAACAAACAAAACCCAACAAAACCCACCUACACCAACAAGCAUAUAGAGACAGAGAAGCUCAAAUCCCGGAACAGAUUCAAUAAGACAAAUUUAGUUGCAUCAGGAAUAGAAAACUCCAAGAAUAUAUAGAAAAUAAUGCACAUUCUUGAUUCCUAUGUAACCCAAAAUAAUAACAAAACCCAUGACUUCUUUAGUACUAUCAAAGAUCAAGUGUUCAAACCUUUAGAGUGUGUUGCACCACCAAGCUCAUUCCCAAAAUCUCCUCCACCAAACACAUGAAUACCUCCGUCGGGUACGUACAACACAUUGUUCCAAAAUCAUCAGCUCAUCUCCUGAAGUCUUCUUCUGAACCAUCUUUCCUUGUCCUUCAACCUUGGCAGUAUUAAAAUUCCCCAUGUACAGCUGCUCCUCCUUGCAGUGGCGGUUCUAGAAUUUUUUGUUAAUAGUGUCAUGUGUACUCUAUAUUUAUUUUAUGGGUUCAAAAUUUUUUAAAACAUAUAUAUAACACUAAAAAAAAAUUUUUUUUAAACAUUUUAACAUAAUUUUUCUUUUUUUUAACAUUUUUCAAAAGCUGAUGGGGUUCAACUGACCCCAUCAUAGCCUACCUGGCGCCGCCCCUGCCCCCUUGGUAGGAGGCUCCAAAGUGGUGAAUAACUUGUCCGAGCACACAUGGCAGCUAGCUCCAAUAUUCACGGAUUCACCCACCACUCAUAUGGGUUAGACCCCACCAGAUUCACCUCGGACACCACUGCACAGAGGUCCAUGUCAUCAGCCCCUACCAUGCGAGCUUGUGCAAGCCUCUUUUCCUUUUGCCUUGGCCUGCUUGCUUCUGCACUCAAACGAUAGAUGGACUGUCUUGUCGCAGAUGUAGCAAUUGCCAGGAAAUUUGUACUUCUUGGCAGCAGCACCUUUAGGGUAAAAACGUAAAUUUCAGAUAGCUCCCUAUGCAGUUAACCCACCCUCAGACCCAUAAACGCAGAUUUGAAACUUCCAAUUCUUCAAAACAAUGACUUCCAAUCAAAACUUAAACCCACCCACGCCUGUAUACUCAAAUGCUCCAUGAAGUUCUAAUCUAUGAUGGAUCUAUUAAAUUCGCAAAACUUCUAAUGCACAAGCCGCAUUUGAAGUGACAAAAAUGAAGACAUCAAUUAUUGUUUGCGUACCACGGUUUAAAACAUUGCGGAAAAUUCCCCACUGCUGCCUCUCAUAGGAGUCUGGGCCGUGUCUUAGUCUCAGUGUGGCUGAUCAUCCUCUCGGACCAGCUACUAAUCAUCGCCUUGGUAAGUGAUUUUUUUUUAUUCCAUGAUUGAUUUUGAUAGUCUGUUUUAUAUUUUGAUAUUCUUAUUUAUUUGUAUUGGGUUUUUGUUUCACUUUGUUUUUUCUUAUUGUGUUUCUAAUUAUUCAAAUUAGUUUUAUAAGAAAAAGUAGAACAUUGAAAAAUUAUAUAAAUUAAUUUGAUUUAGUCACUUAAUUAAGAGGAAGAUAAAUUCGCAAACUAAACAGAAUCUUACUGUUUGGGGGCUCUACCUUGAGGUUGUAGAAUAAUGAGUGGCUCGAGACUACUCUUUAAAAAUGAAAAAAAAGGCAAGUAAGAAUUGAACCCAGUAAUUGAACCACCUUCUUCUUCUUUCUGUGGUUUUUAGAGUUCUUGGUAGUGGAGGAUGUGGUAGAUGGUGGUGAAAAUUAGAUUAACACAUAAAAUCAUGGAGAAUUUAUUGAGGGAAAAAUUGGUAUUCUGAAAAAGGAGGAUGUGGUAGAUGGUGGUGACAAAUUAGAUUAAAACCCCCCCCCACAUAAAAUCAUGGAGAAAUUUUUGAGGGAAAAAUGGUAUUUGAAAAACUUCAGUAAGGUAAGGUCAUCCAAUUGGCCAUGUUUGUUUGCCGGUAGGCCGGAUUGGGAACAAAGAGUUCAGUCCAGUCGGCGUUUUUGUUACAAAAAAAUGAUUAUGGGACUAUUAGUCGACCGGACUAAAUUAGUCCGGUAUAUGUGGGACUGUAUGUACCGGGGGUGGGGGUGGGAACAAACUAGUCUCGGACUAAGCCUAAGCGGACUAAUUGUAAAAUUACUAAUUUGCUUUUACACAUUGAAUAAUUUCCCCAUAUCUCCCUUCUCUAUAUCCUAUCUCUCCAAAAGAGCUAGAAGCUCGGUUCGGUGUUUGGUUUAUGGUGUUAAGUAAAUGAUUUUUUGAUCAAGGUUUUUAGGGAUAAACAGUUUUUUUAAAAAAAAGUACAAUUUUUCUAAAAAAAUAUUUUUUAAAAAAAUUUUAAUUGAAAAAAAUAUUAAACAAAAAUAAUUUUGAAAAUCUAUUUUAUUGAGAACAAUUUUAAAGAAUAUAAAAUAAUUUUUCUUUUCUAAAAAAGUAAGUUAUUUUUUUAAAAAAAAUGUUAUUUUUAAAAAUAAUAAUUUUUACCAAAAUUAUUUUAAAAAUUAAUAAAAAAAUGUACAUUUAAAAAAAAUAUUUUUCCAGAAAAACGGUUAAUUUUAAAAAAAGAAGUGUUAUCCAAAAAUCAAAUUGAAGGGGUAUGUUGGUCAUUUCCUUUAUUUGUCCAGUCCGAGCCUUAGUUAAACGCACUAGGACAAGACUGAAAUACCACUUAUCCAGAGUUUUAUCGGAGCAAAACAAACGGCUACACGAAUAUCAGGGGCCAAGUAGUCCGACAAACGAGUCCAGCAAGUCCAAUCCGGAGGCUAUUAGUCCGAGACCUGUAAUUCCACGACCAUUUAAUGUCUUUAUUUUUUUUUUUUCAGAAAUAGAAAUUAUGGAAUAUAUUAAGUCCUUUAAUACUUUUGGGGUAAAUUGAAAGAUUAUAACUUAUGGAGAUAAGAUUUAAUAUUACUUUAGAUAAUGUACUUACUUGAAAACUGGAGGGACAAAAGGUAAUUAACCAAACAAAAACAUUGGAGGGGGAAGAUGCUCUCCUCUUUCGGUGGAAGAGAGAGGUGUGGUGCAUGUGUGAUGAGUGUGGUGGGAGAAUGGGGGGUUUUUAAAAAUAAUAAGGGAGAAAGAGAUGGAAAAAUUUGGGAGAGGAGAGAGCGAUGAGAGCGGAGAGGAGGAGGAAAUAGGAGACAAAAUUUGUCAAAUUUGGUUCUAACGGUAUAUUAAAUUCUCUUAUUUCAUUAUUAGUUUUCUUCUAAAUACCCGAAAAAUUAUUGCAUAUAUAUAUUUUAAGACAAAGUUUGAUAGAAAAAGUAUGUAUUAUAUCUUGAAUAGCAUUGUAUUGAUUCCAUAAUUUUUUUUCAUACGAUGUCCGAAUUAUUGGUUUAAGUUGCUUGGAAAGAUAUCAAAAUUAUCUACAUCUUCCAUUUAGAAAAUUUUGAAAAUUAAGACUCUGGUGAUUGAAAAUUUUACAUUUACAGUACGAUUCGAAAGAGAAAAAUUAAGUAGUGGAAAAGAAAACUUUACGAAUUUUGGAAAAAUAGUAACAUAUGUUAGAAAAAAUCUACAUUUUUAUAGUGAUAAAAUUAAUGUAUAGGCACUAAUUAUUUAAUUCAUACAUUUAUGAAAAUGAUUUUAUACCCACAAAUAUUUAUAAAAUAAACUGCUGUCAGCCAAACUUAUGUGCGGAAACUGAGAAAUGUUUCUUAAUUUCUAAAAAUAGUUAAAUAGUUUAGAAAAAUUAUAAUAAUUUUACUAUAGAUAAAUAUAUGUGUCUAGUAUGUUUUUAUAAAUUAUAGAGUCAAAUUAUCUCGGCGAGUAAUAUACAAAAUUAUAAACCGAGCUUACUGACAGAAGGAAUUUUGUGGCAGAAACUGAAGAUGUUAGAAGAAUUUUUGAAAAUAGUUAUAUAGCUUAUAAAAUAUAUAAUAUUUUACGUAGAUACAUAUAUGGUCUAAUGUGUUGUUUGUAAAAGUUUCAGAGUAAAAACUAUAACCUAGAAUUUUUAUAAAAAUCAUAAACCGGCUAUGACAGAAGAAAUCUGUGCAGAAACUGAAGUUGUUAGAUAAUUUCUGAAAAUAGGUAUAUAGCUUAUACAUAUAUAAUAAUUUUACUGUAGAUACAUAUAUGUGUCUCAAGAUAUUGUGCUAAACCCUUUUCAGCCCCCCCACCCCCCCAGUAAAAUUAAACCGAGAAUUUUUAUAAAAAUCAUAAACAACUUGACUGUCUUGAAAAACUUAGUAUAACAAAUUUUGUAGAAAGUUAAUUCGAAUAUAAAUAAAUUCUAACUUAGAAAUUCUUAAAUUUUAGUAUAUUAUCCAUAGCCACGCGACCAUUAAAUCUAAAAAUAUUAAUAUUAAAACUUAGGACCCAAAAACGAAGAACCCUCCAUAUAGCAUACGAGUGGAUACGAGAAGGGCGAGAAUACGCAUAAGGUGAUCUUGUUUAUAUUUUACUUUACUUCAAAAUUAUUUUGGAAAUGAUAGCAUGCGUUGUAUGUUUUAAACUGAUAUUUUAUGUUGAAAGCAUGCUAUAUUUUAAUGUGCAUGAAAUGUGAAAAAGGUAUACUUGUUUCAAAAUAUGAUUUUAGACGACAAUGGUUCUAACGGUGACCCGAACGAUAGGGAAAAAGAUAUAGCGGGUAUGAUGAAAUAAGGAGAUCAUGCAGAUGAUUUAGGAUGAUAUCAUGCCAUGUAAUUAUUGGGGUCGCUCCCUAAUUACUGGUGAUCGUUGAAGGGAUGUGUGUCGCAAGUGUCAAUCGAUAUGAUUUAUGUUUUGAUAUGAUGAUAUCAAGGGAAAUUUGCAUAGGUGGCCAAUGGUUGAAACAGAUGAUGACAAAGAAAAAUAUAUUUAAGUAUAAAAUGAUUUGGAGUGAUACUUCCGGGCACAUGUAGUUUUAAUAUAACUUGAACUCACACUGACUAGUGCUUAAGACGUAGUCGUACGUACAUUCAGGUAAUGAGAACGAGAAGUGGAACGCAAUGAGGGCGGGGUGACCUAGUGUUGAUGUGGAAGACCUAUAAACUAUAAAAUCAGUAUAGGACUGAUAAAUCUAAGGGUUAUAGUUUUAUUAAAUUGUACCAAAUAUUAGGGAUAAGAAUUGUGUUGCUUCAUAUUUUAUCGGAGGAAUGUAAGAAGUAGUUUGUAUAAUUAGUUAUGACAAUCAGCUCUGGUUAUUUGAAUUAUUUUCCGCAUGCUUUAUUGUAUUCAAGUAAGUAACUUGAACAAUUAGAAAAUCCCUAAAUGAAUUGAGAACUGGCCUUAGUGAGUGGGAUCUCAUUGGCCGGUCACGAUAGUACCAAAAAUAAAGGUGACCCACAUGUAUAUGGGUGGUCGUGCACAGACUACUUGUCCAGUCCGGCCAAACAACGAGACCAUUAUGUUCAAUGUUUGACUAAUGGUGGGGGAUAUAUGUGAUCCAACUAUAAAUCUCAGGGAGAAGAAUGUUAAUUUUAGGACCUCAGGAGAGGUACGUGUAGUGUAAUUUACCCUAUAACAUAGGAUGCUUGUCCUUUCUAAUCCAGGUCAGCGAGGGUUACUUCUGUAAAAUCAAUAUACCUGAUCAACUUUAGUGCAGAAAAAGAGAGCUGCUUCCCCCGACACACAAGCGGCCCCACCACAAAACGCCCUCAAUAAUUACCAUUAUACUCAUGACAUAUCCCUCUUUUUUUUUAUCAAUUUUAUUUUUUUUUAGAUAAAUUUUUUUUAUUAUAUAUUUAUAAUUUUUUGAUUAUUUUUUAGUAGUAGAUUUUGGAAUAUAUUAUUUAUAAAAAUUUAAAAAAGUAUAAAAGAAAUAUGGAUCAAAAUAAAAAAUUAUAUAUUACAAAUCAUAAAAUACUAACAAUUAAUAUGCAAACAUACUAUAGCUGCAAACAAAUGUUUUUUUUUCAAAUGACAAGUCUCUUAGGGGCUAGUAUUGAUUAGCCAUGCUCAAGAAGAUACAUGUAUAAUAUACAAAAGAGAUACAUGAAACUAAUAAAAAUUCUUCUAAUCAAUAUUGCCUCUAAAUUUGCUCCCUGUCCCGCGCAACGCUGUGUUGUACUUAUUAUUUGGUACCACAAAUAAACAUGUGUACUAUAACGAACGGUCCAUCCUUUAGUUUCGUACGAUGAAUUGUUGCCACCACCAACAUGGAAUGGGUCAAGAUAAUGAGGUUAAUAAAACUUGCAUGAAUGUUUGCCAACAUGGGCAAUACUUAUUUUAUUGACGCUUUUUGAAAUUUGAAACUAGAGGAGUCCCUUAUGACAUGAGUAAGACAACUCUUAACAUUUUCAUUUUCACCAAAUGUAUACAGUAACCAAGUGUACCUUGAAUGCAAUGACAAAUUUUCCAAGCAACGUACACCCAAUAAGAUUCUGGUUCCCAUGACUCGAACCAAUUCAGUGAGAAUAUAGACUGGCUAUCAAAUUUCGAUCUAGAUAAAACUGAUCAUAUGAAUCCUUAUUUUGUUGAAUCUCUUCCAAAAGCUCUAAUCGUACUUGAGACCAACCUUCUUCACUAUACCCAAUGAGUUUGGCUAUCGCUCUAAAUCCACAAUGCCCAUCAGGUUGAAUGUCAAUAGUGUGAGAAAUAUAAUGCUGCAAAGCCAAAUAUAAUUUCUCAAUAUAAGUAUCAUGGAUGGGUGGAUUGCGAACCUCUAACCCCUCCCACGUCUCCCUCUCCCUCGAGACAUUGUAGUCGAUUGAGUGACCCUAGAGCCUAAAGUGGAUGUAUCUUCAAAAGAAGGUAUACGACGUCUGCUUUGCUCCUCUCUACCAGUAGGUCGACCUCGAUGUCCGUGUUGUAUGAAAGGCUCGAACUGACUUUGGAGAUAAUUCACCAUAUCAAAACCCUGUCUAUCAUAUGCUCGCCAUAUGUGGAUCUAUCUCGAUCUAUAUCCAACAACGUGGGAUCUGUGGGUCGUGCUCUAAUAUCUCAACAACGGGAUGCCUGUUGGGUCAUGCUCCCUCAUCAUUAAACCCUGUAUGUGCAUAGAACAAAAAACCUCCUCCAAGACGUCGCUACUCUUGUAGCGAAAUUGGAAGGAAAAAGUACGAUAAUGUGCAAGAUCGGUGCUCUCAUGACAAUUCGUAUAAUUAUUUUGAUUGAACAGUUGCAUCUGCUGGCUAGCUGGUGAGAUGCCUUUCUCAACGCAUGUCAAACCAGAAAUAUCUCGCAAUACCUCUAUGAAUUCGACAUUUUUCUUGGACUGAAAAUGUCAUCUAUUUUAAUGUUGAUGGCGUGGAAUGCUGAGAGAUUGCUUUGAACUACUUCUAUAUCCCAUCCCCGAACUAACUCUCCACAUCUUGUGUAUUUUUUCAAACUAUAUGUGUAGGGAUGACAUGGUAUCUUCCAAAUAGAACUCCCAGCCUCGCAUUGAUUACAUCCUUCCUUGUAAUCAAAAAAUGCAUUGUGUUUAAUAAUAAAAUUAUACAAUAAUGAAUAAAAUUGAAAAUAGUAAGUUAUAAAGUGACUAUACCUUUGACUUGAAUUGCUCCUGAGGUGUAUACAUGAAUCAACCCAUGCUGAACACAAAUCGCUCU